CCGGCUGCCAGCGCCGGGCAGCGGCCGCGCGGGGCAGCGGGACCGGCGUCGCGGCCGCCGUCGGAGCCCAGGGGAAGGUAGCAAAUCGCAGGCUAAAGGGAACGGCACUCCAGGACAACUCUUUUCCACAAAGAGGAAGAAACUGUUGUGCUCGGGUCCUUACCUUUCAGCAGUGAUUCUGUGAUGCAAGUUCCAAGAGUUCCUCUUUCUGUGAUAAUGUUCUCUAUGGCCUCUUUUUGCUGAUGUUUGUCACAGUUUUGGGCAUAAAGAGAAAGGAUGCUGAAGAAUGGGUACCCUCCUUACGGCUUUUAGAACAUGGGCACUUGUGUAAAGAUGCAGCUGUGAUCCUCGGCUGUGUGUCUCACCGAAGGGACCUGAUGUUUUACAUUAUUGGUGGGAUCACAGUAUUUGUUGUAGCUUUCUUCUUCACCAUUAAGUUCCUGUUUGAGCUUGCCGCACGUAUAGUCAGCUUCCUUCAGCAUGAGGACCGGGAACGCCGAGGGGAGCGAACUAUUUAUGACUACGUGCGAGGCAACUAUUUGGAUCCCCGGUCCUGCAAAAUCUCCUGGGAUUGGAAGGACCCCUAUGAGGUGGGCCAUAGCAUGGCCUUCCGAGUGCAUUUAUUCUAUAAAAAUGGGCAACCCUUCCCUGCUCACCAGCCUGUGGGGCUGCGUGUUCACAUCUGCCAUAUGGAGUUAGCAAUUGAUAUUCCUGUAACCCAGGAAGUUCUUCAGGAGCCCAAUUCCAAUGUGGUGAAAGUGGCCUUCACUGUGCGCAGAGCUGGAGGAUACGCGAUUACUGUAAAACUCGGUGGCUUGAAUGUGGCCUACAGCCCCUACUACAAGGUGUUCCAGCCAGGAAUGGUGGUUCCCUCCAAAACCAAAAUUGUUUGCCAUUUCUCCACUCUGGUGCUGACCUGUGGGCAGCAGCACACUCUGCAGAUAGCUCCCAGAGAUGAGUACGACAAUCCCACCAGCAACUCUGUGUCACUGAUAGAUGAGCACAAUUACAGCCUCUCCAUCCAUGAGCUGGGUCCUCAAGAAGAAGAGAGCUCUGAUGUGGUGUUUGAGAAGUCUGUGGUGUCUAAUCGGCAGACUUGCGAGGUGCUCUUUCGACUCACCUUGCACUCUAGGGGGUGUUUCCAUGCCUGCAUCUCCUACCAGAACCAGCCCAUAAGCAAUGGUGAUUUUGACAUCAUUGUUCUAAGCGAGAAUGAAAAGAACAUUGUAGAACGCAAUGUGUCCACCUCAGGUGUCAGUAUUUAUUUUGAAGCCUACCUUUAUGAUGCUCCUAGUUAUACCAACACUCAGUGGCAACUUCCACCAAUGCACCUGAGCUCCUCCCAGCGCCGUCCUUCUACUGCAAUUGAGGAUGAAGAUGAAGAUUCUCCUUCUGACAGCCAGACGCCUGAGAAAGUGAAAAAGCCUAAAAAAGUGUACUGCUAUGUGUCACCUAAGCAAUUCUCAGUGAAAGAAUUUUACCUGAAGAUCAUUCCAUGGCGCCUUUUCACCUUUAGAGUGUGUCCUGGCACAAAGUUUUCAUACCUUGGUCCUGAUCCUGUGCACAAAUUACUGACACUGGUGGUGGAUGAUGGGAUCCAACCCCCUGUGGAGCUCAGCUGCAAGGAGAGGAACAUCUUGGCAGCCACUUUCAUUCGUGCUCUGCAUAAAAACAUAGGAGGCUCUGAAACCUUCCAAGACAAAGUGAACUUCUUUCAGCGAGAGCUACGUCAGGUGCACAUGAAAAGACCUCAUUCGAAGGUCACGCUGAAGGUCAGCCGUCACUGUCUGCUGGAGUCGUCUUUUAAAGCAACACGAAAUUUUUCUGUUUCUGACUGGAGCAAAAACUUUGAAGUGAUUUUUCAGGAUGAAGAAGCUCUGGACUGGGGAGGUCCACGCAGAGAGUGGUUUGAGCUCAUUUGUAAGGCAUUAUUUGAUACCACCAAUCAACUGUUUACCCGCUUUAGUGAUAACAACCAGGCCUUGGUGCAUCCAAAUCCAGGGCGUCCCACAUAUUUACGACUCAAAGUGUAUGAAUUUGCAGGCCGCCUGGUAGGAAAGUGUCUUUAUGAGUCAUCUCUGGGAGGUGCUUACAAACAACUGGUUCGAGCUCGCUUCACCCGAUCCUUCCUGGCUCAGAUCAUAGGACUUCGUAUGCAUUACAAGUAUUUUGAAACGGAUGACCCAGAAUUCUAUAAAUCCAAAGUGUGUUUUAUACUGAACAAUGAUGUGAGUGAGAUGGAUCUGGUCUUUGCUGAAGAGAAGUAUAGCAAAACAGGACAGCUGGAGAAGGUGGUAGAACUGGUGGCAGGAGGGGCUCAAGUACCAGUGACAAACGAAAACAAAAUCUUGUAUCUAAAUCUGCUUGCGCAGUACAGGCUGGCCAAUCAGGUUAGAGAGGAGGUGGAUCACUUCCUGAAAGGUCUUAACGAAUUAGUUCCUGAGAACCUGCUGGCUAUUUUUGAUGAGAAUGAGCUUGAGUUGCUUAUGUGCGGUACUGGAGAUAUCAGUGUCUGUGACUUCAAGGCACAUGCUGUAGUGGUGGGAGGAUCUUGGCACUUCCGUGAGAAGGUCAUGAGGUGGUUUUGGACUGUGGUGUCCAGUUUCACACAGGAAGAGCUGGCCAGGCUUUUGCAGUUCACAACUGGUUCCUCCCAACUGCCCCCAGGAGGGUUUGCUGCACUCUGUCCAUCUUUCCAGAUCAUUGCAGCUCCAACUCACAGUACUUUGCCGACAGCCCACACUUGUUUUAACCAGCUGUGCCUCCCUACUUAUGACUCCUAUGAAGAAGUGCACAGGAUGCUGCAGCUAGCUAUCAGCGAGGGUUGUGAGGGUUUUGGCAUGCUGUGAUUUCCCCUUUCCAGGAGACCACUUAGCCUCUUGGCUCUUCGUGGCAAGACCCAGGUUCAGUCCUCUGCUUGUUCUCCUUCCCUUCAUACGGGCAAUGGAGGCAGAGCAAAGACUCUAUGUAAAGGAAUUUGUCAUUCAGAAGAUGUCAUGUGGCCUUUCUGUAUCCCAAAUAUGUCAUCAAGAGCUCAUCUUUUCCCUUUUCCUCAUUCUCCAUUUGGUUCAAUGUGAAACAGCAAAAGGACUACAGUGCAUUCAUCAAGGAGAUAUUGCACUUGAUUUCCAUGUACCCUGUACACCCCUCCUUCUGUGGGAAGAUGAAGUUCAUAAGCAGAAGUUACAGGGAGGUGCAGGAGAUCUGCUGAGCUGCCUUUAUCGUAGCUCUCUAGGAGGAAGAGGGAAGACCAGCAUGGAGCUCUGCUGGAAAUCUGGCUCAUGGGAAGCCUUAGUAACUUCCCAUGUCUUGGCUCAACUCCCCCAGUGAUGCUCCCUGAUAGUUCAUCUCACUGUGACUGGUAAGGAGUGUACAGUUGUCCAUUCUUUCAGCGCCUGACCCAAAAGGGUUUCUGGUUCUCCUUCUCCGUCUUGCUCUGGAUGCUGCUGUCAUGUGCGCCACAGAGAAAAAUGGGCAGUAUCCACUGGAGGGAGUAACCCAAAGGGGAGAACAGUCUCAUCGGAGCACACAUGCUGGCCCUGACAGCGAUCCUGUACUACCUCCACCAGGGUCCAGCAGCAGAAGCUGGUAAUGAGCCUCUGCAAAUGAACUGGAAGAGGAGUUUCUCCUCCAAUGAAUGUUUCUGACAGUUGAUGUUGCACAGGAAGCUGUUCCAUGCCCUUGCCUUCUGUUCCCUUCCUCAGGAGAGAGAGUAUGGGCAUGAGUGUGAUCCCUCAAUGCUGAGCACCAAUGCCUAUCCCACAUUCACCUUCAGGGUAUGUAUGUUAUGUAAUAACAGUGACAGAUCAAUAAGCAGCUAGAGUGUGCACUGGGCUUGCAUUUGUUGUUGGGGUGAUGGUACUGGGCAGAACAUGGUACCUCUUCUCCAGAAUCCCACAGUGUCUUGGCUUCUACCUCUAUCAUGCAGCAGCCUGAGGCUUCUCUUUUUCUACUGCAUUUCAGAGUGUCCAGAGAGUUGUUGGUGCCUGGAGAGCAGCUAAAUUUCUGUCCUUCCAUUCUUCUUUCUUUCUUCUUCAACCCUUUCCUCCUGUUCCAUUCAGCGCUGUUGGCUUUCCAGCACAAAAUGCUAACUAGAACUUCACUCAAGUGAUCACUCAACAGCCUGCACCCACCAUUGUCUGGCUUGGGGGAGGAGUGGGCAGACCAGCAUGAGAAGUAAGUUUAUGAUUGGGGUCUGUUGUAGUUGGCAGUCCAUUCAGCCCUUCCCAGGGGAAUAAAGGGAAUCUUGAUGAGUUCUUCAGUGAAGCAAAACUCAAGUUUUUUGUUUUCAGCAGUCCCUUAGAUGGUUCAAGUCAAAGGCAUACAGGAGUCAAAGUUGAAGAAAUCUGCAUCGCUAAUACCUGCAAUGUGAGCUUUCACUGGAUUAUGGAUUUGCUGGAUUUCUUCCAGAAUGGAGUUUCAGAGUGGCAUGCCAAGCUAAUUUUAGAACACCCUAUUGGAUAAAAAGUCACAUCAUCCUCUUCAGUCCCCUUCUGCUAUCUUCAGGCCGAUCCAAUGAGACUUGUGCACAGUAUGGAUCUUUUAAGUUAACUGUCUGUGCUUUUCAAGUGUGGCUUAGUCGAAUUGACUGGGAACUUGGGGGAAAUAUUCUAUAUCGAGAAAAUGUUUUUAAGACAGCAUCUGAGUCAUUCUUGGGCUGUUACUUCUGUACAGAAAAAAAAUAAGCCAUUUUGGUGCCAAAAAGCAGUCAGCUGAACAUGGAGACUACUCAGGGGGAUUUCUUUGCCUUGUGAAUUUAUUCCCUCACUGGCACUGAGGUGCUGCGAGGCUGCCAGCUUGAGAGUUGCCACUCUUGUGCUCUGACAGAUCACGUUAAUAGUGGCUGUUCUCCCUUUUUUAAUGCAGGCUGCAUACUGCAAAGUUCUGACCUCCUUUGGAUGGAGAGUAUGGUACCAUUUUAUUUACACUGCAGAUGACUUCCAUGGUCAGUAGAGUUACAGAGCCCUGUGUUUUCCAAGACACCACUUCACUGCUUUCUCCAGGGACCGAGAGGAAAGGAAGUGGCAGUGCUCAGCUUAACUCCAGUUUGUUGGGAGGCAUAGCUUGAUGUUGUUUCUAUGUUUCAGCCUUGUCUUGCAGUCUCAGCUGUCUGAGGAUGUUUUCAGCCCUAAAGCUAUGGGUCAGCUCUGACAGUGACAUCUUCCUCAGGAAUCUUCUCCCUUCUUCUCUUGAGCUGUCAUUUUUUUAUUCUGGAGAUGAAGUAACUGGCCAUUGGGCAGACUUCCUUUACUGGAAAGAAAAUGCUUCUCAUUCAUUACAGCUAGCACUCCACGCUUCCCAGCAGCUGUGAAGAUGCCAAGGAUUUUCUUCUUAACACAAGUGGGGUCAGAACUGUGAUGGGUGCUCUUGGUCAACUAAACCCAUCCCCACUGCUUACACAGGCCCCUAGCUGGUCCCAUGUUGCUGAGAUCCAUCACAAUAUUUCUAAACUUGUCUCUGGCUUUACAACAUUUCCCAGUACAGUCAUUUUUGAUGCUGCCCCUAAUGCUGGCAAUGGGGAUGUGCUGUGGUCACCCCCACGCUAUGUUACUUCUGGCAGAGGCUCGUUACUUUUCGGUUUUGCCCUUUAUUUAUUCCCACUUAAUAGAGGCUCUUCUGUGGAAAUCCUUAGGAUCAUGAUACCAUCUUAGACAAGAUUCCAUGUUUCCUGAAGCUGCUUUGAGGUGCAGAGGGCCUAGCUUCAGCCUGUACCUGCAGGUCAUGUUGCAUGUUUUUAGAAACCAGGAGCUGUAGAUGAUACAGGUCAAAUACUAGUUCCCUCUGGUGAAUUUCUGGCAGAGUUCAGCCAAAAUUUGGAAGCCUGUGAUUGUAGUAGUUGAUUUUGUAAAUAGUUUGUAUAAUAAAUAAAAUAUUUUAAAAAUG